GAUGAACGCUGGCGGCGUGCUUAACACAUGCAAGUCGAACGAAGCACCUUGAUUUGAUUCUUCGGAUGAAGAUCUUGGUGACUGAGUGGCGGACGGGUGAGUAACGCGUGGGUAACCUGCCUCAUACAGGGGGAUAACAGUUAGAAAUGACUGCUAAUACCGCAUAAGACCACAGCACCGCAUGGUGCAGGGGUAAAAACUCCGGUGGUAUGAGAUGGACCCGCGUCUGAUUAGGUAGUUGGUGGGGUAACGGCCUACCAAGCCGACGAUCAGUAGCCGACCUGAGAGGGUGACCGGCCACAUUGGGACUGAGACACGGCCCAAACUCCUACGGGGGGCAGCAGUGGGGAAUAUUGCACAAUGGGGGAAACCCUGAUGCAGCGACGCCGCGUGAGCGAUGAAGUAUUUCGGUAUGUAAAGCUCUAUCAGCAGGGAAGAAAAUGACGGUACCUGACUAAGAAGCACCGGCUAAAUACGUG
rnacentral:rRNA from 1 species